rnacentral:rRNA from 1 species
CUUCUGUCAUUAGAGAACAAUUUGCACGGGAGUAACUGCCCGGGCAUUGAUAGUACCUGAAGAGGAAGAGACGGCUAACUCUGUGC